rnacentral:rRNA from 1 species
AGUGAACGCUGGCGGUAGGCCUAACACAUGCAAGUCGAACGGCAGCACAGCAAGAGCUUGCUCUUACGGGUGGCGAGUGGCGGACGGGUGAGGAAUACAUCGGAAUCUACUUUUUCGUGGGGGAUAACGUAGGGAAACUUACGCUAAUAUCGCAUACGACCUACGGGUGAAAGCAGGGGAUCUUCGGACCUUGCGCGAUUGAAUGAGCCGAUGUCGGAUUAGCUAGUUGGCGGGGUAAAGGCCCACCAAGGCGACGAUCCGUAGCUGGUCUGAGAGGAUGAUCAGCCACACUGGAACUGAGACACGGUCCAGACUCCUACGGGAGGCAGCAGUGGGGAAUAUUGGACAAUGGGCGCAAGCCUGAUCCAGCCAUACCGCGUGGGUGAAGAAGGCCUUCGGGUUGUAAAGCCCUUUUGUUGGGAAAGAAAAGCAGCAGGUUAAUACCCCGCUGUUCUGACGGUACCCAAAGAAUAAGCACCGGCUAACUUCGUG